GUUCUUGCAAAAAUUGAGUUCAGUUUGAUCUCCACACAUGUCAAAGAAACAAUGAGAAAAAAAUUAUUUCUGUGAGGAAAUUUUUUGUUGUUGUACAUAAUGCUAGUGAGGAAAAUAUAUUAUCUUGCUGUAGGUUUAGUGGAAAUUACAUUUCCUUCCCACCAAAAUAGUAGCGAGAAAUUUUUUAUUUUUCUUACUAAAUAAAAUUUUAGCGAGGAAAAUUGAAUUCCCGCUAUAGCACUCCCGCUAUAAUUUUUCAGAAUUUUCAAGUAAGGCGCCCUUUUAUUCACUUUUUCCCGCUGAUAGCCCAAACCAUUUCCAAGUGUUAGAAAAAAAAAAAAAAAAAAAAAACAUGAAAUCCCAGAUAACAUCAUUUAGUCUCUCUCUCUCUCUCUCUCUCUCUCUCUCUCUCUCUCUCUCUCUGUAGGACGAGAAAGAAUUGAGGGCGUUGAACUCUUCAGUGUUCUGAAACACUCUCUAAACCCACUCUUGCUGAUUGACGACGAUAGUGGUAACUGGGUAUAAUCGUGCAUUCCUGGAAAAAGGUUUUGGGAACACGACUGCAACUUUGCAUGCAGCAUCAUAGCAACUUCGAGUGCUUUACCAUUGAAGACUCGAGAGCUUCGAACUCUCUCACCUUCAAUCUUAGGUAAGAUUCUUCCAUUCUCUUCAAUUUUUAGGCUUUUGUUUGUGAUGGAAAUGAACGUUAUGUUGAGUUUAAACUUGAAUCCGUGUGUUUUUAGCCUUGCCAUCUUUUGCAUAUGCAUGCUCAACCCCAACAUAAAAUUCCGGCAAGACUUUCGUUGAGUUCAUGAGUGGUGGCACUUGGGCUCGCUUAGAAUUGAUCCUAGGUAACUAAAUAUCUUCAUGCAUGUGGUUUUUAGCUGGAAAUCACUAUUGAACUGACAUGCAUGCUCUUGGUGUAAACUUUCUAGAAUCUGGUGAAGAAAUCUAGCCUUUGGAGGCUAUUUUCU